rnacentral:rRNA from 1 species
UGGGGAAUUUUGGACAAUGGACGCAAGUCUGAUCCAGGCAUGCCGCGUGCGGGAAGAAGGCCUUCGGGUUGUAAACCGCUUUUGUCAGGGAAGAAACGAGUUUCUCUAAUACAGAGACUUAAUGACGGUACCUGAAGAAUAAGCACCGGCUAACUACGUGCCAGCAGCCGCGGUAAUACGUAGGGUGCAAGCGUUAAUCGGAAUUACUGGGCGUAAAGCGUGCGCAGGCGGUUUUGUAAGACAGAGGUGAAAUCCCCGGGCUCAACCUGGGAACUGCGUUUGUGACUGCAUAACUAGAGUACGGCAGAGGGAGGUGGAAUUCCGCGUGUAGCAGUGAAAUGCGUAGAUAUGCGGAGGAACACCGAUGGCGAAGGCAGCCUCCUGGGCCAGUACUGACGCUCAUGCACGAAAGCGUGGGGAACAAACA